GCUUUCAACAUCCCCGUUCCGGGGCGUGAGAUUCCGAAUCGAAACGGAGCCGCGCGGCUGGGACUGAAGGC
rnacentral:sRNA from 12 species